UACAGAGGUGGCAAGCGUUGUUCGGAGUUACUGGGCGUAAAGAGUGCGUAGGCGGCCUGAUAAGUAGGGGGUGAAAUCCUGCGGCUUAACCGCAGGGCUGCCUUCUAAACUGUCAGGCUAGAGCACAGUAGAGGCAGGUGGAAUUCCCGGUGUAGCGGUGGAAUGCGUAGAGAUCGGGAGGAACACCGGUGGCGAAGGCGGCGUUCUGGACUGCAACUGACACUGAGGAACGAAAGCCAGGGGAGCAAACGGG
rnacentral:rRNA from 1 species